UCUCGUGUCCCCAGUUCAAAUCUGGUUCCUG
rnacentral:tRNA from 1 species